GCACUUCUUUGCUCAACUUAUCCCGCGCUACCUCUGGGUGCUCCCGAACUGACUUGAGAUUACCACACAUCGUACCCGGUCCCCUAACCACGAAGGGAAUAACAAAUCCUUCCCUAAAUCCCUGCCACAAAAAGGCUGCAUCCGCCCUAUUAGCGUACUGCCUUAGCCAAGGUAACAUCACGUCUAUUUUCACUGGGGACGCCCCCAGCUGUAGCAGCGGGGGGCGCUGCCCCCACGGACCCCCCUCCCCCUCCAAGCUUACCUUUCUUGAAGCAUCGGCUGGCGCCAUGAGCCCCCCCGCAGCCGGAACACUCAUGUCGGAACCUGCAGGAAUUCCCCCACUUGCAGUGUCCCUCGUUGUACAUCCAGCAGAAGCCUUUCUUUUGCCCAGCC